rnacentral:rRNA from 1 species
UGGGGAAUUUUGGACAAUGGGGGCAACCCUGAUCCAGCAAUGCCGCGUGUGUGAAGAAGGCCUUCGGGUUGUAAAGCACUUUUGUCCGGGAAGAAAUCGCACCUGAUAAUACCGGGUGUGGAUGACGGUACCGGAAGAAUAAGGACCGGCUAACUACGUGCCAGCAGCCGCGGUAAUACGUAGGGUCCAAGCGUUAAUCGGAAUUACUGGGCGUAAAGCGUGCGCAGGCGGUUGUGCAAGACCGAUGUGAAAUCCCCGGGCUUAACCUGGGAAUUGCAUUGGUGACUGCACGGCUAGAGUGUGUCAGAGGGGGGUAGAAUUCCACGUGUAACAGUGAAAUGCGUAGAGAUGUGGAGGAAUACCGAUGGCGAAGGCAGCCCCCUGGGAUAACACUGACGCUCAUGCACGAAAGCGUGGGGAGCAAACAGG